ACGUAGGGGGCGAGCGUUAUUCGGAAUUACUGGGUGUAAAGGGUAUGUAGGCGGCCCUUCAAGUCGCGUGUCAAAGUCCAGUGCUCAACGCUGGGUGUGCGAGCGAUACUGACGGGCUUGAGUGCUGGAGAGGUGAGCGGAAUUCCCGGUGUAGUGGUAAAAUGCUUAGAUAUCGCGAGGAACACCAACGGCGCAGGCAGCUCACUAGACAGUAUCUGACGCUAAGACACGAAAGCGUGGGGAGCAAACAG
rnacentral:rRNA from 1 species